rnacentral:rRNA from 1 species
UACGUAGGGUGCAAGCGUUAAUCGGAAUUACUGGGCGUAAAGCGUGCGCAGGUGGUUGUGCAAGACAGAUGUGAAAUCCCCGGGCUUAACCUGGGGACUGCAUUUGUGACUGCACGGCUAGAGUGCGGCAGAGGGGGAUGGAAUUCCGCGUGUAGCAGUGAAAUGCGUAGAUAUGCGGAGGAACACCGAUGGCGAAGGCAAUCCCCUGGGCCUGCACUGACACUCAUGCACGAAAGCGUGGGGAGCAAACAGG